rnacentral:rRNA from 1 species
AACGAACGCUGGCGGCAGGCUUAACACAUGCAAGUCGAGCGGUCAUAGCAAUAUGUCAGCGGCAGACGGGUGAGUAACGCGUGGGAAUCUACCCAACCCUACGGAAUAACGCAUGGAAACGUGUGCUAAUACCGUAUACGCCCUAACGGGGAAAGAUUUAUCGGGGAUGGAUGAGCCCGCGUUGGAUUAGCUAGUUGGUGGGGUAAAGGCCUACCAAGGCGACGAUCCAUAGCUGGUCUGAGAGGAUGAUCAGCCACAUUGGGACUGAGACACGGCCCAAACUCCUACGGGAGGCAGCAGUGGGGAAUAUUGGACAAUGGGCGCAAGCCUGAUCCAGCCAUGCCGCGUGAGUGAUGAAGGCCCUAGGGUUGUAAAGCUCUUUCACCGGAGAAGAUAAUGGCGGUAUCCGGAGAAGAAGCCCCGGCUAACUUCGUGCCAGCCGCCGCAGUAA